rnacentral:rRNA from 1 species
GAUCAUGGCUCAGAUUGAACGCUGGCGGCAUGCCUUACACAUGCAAGUCGAACGGCAGCACGGGGCGAACCUGGGUGGCGAGUGGCGAACGGGUGAGUAAUGCAUCGGAACGUGCCAUUGAGUGGGGGGUAACGUAGCGAAAGUUACGCUAAUACCGCAUAUUCUGUGAGCAGGAAAGCAGGGGAUCGCAAGACCUUGCGCUCUUUGAGCGGCCGAUGUCAGAUUAGCUAGUUGGUGAGGUAACGGCUUACCAAGGCGACGAUCUGUAGCGGGUCUGAGAGGAUGAUCCGCCACACUGGAACUGAGACACGGUCCAGACUCCUACGGGAGGCAGCAGUGGGGAAUUUUGGACAAUGGGGGCAACCCUGAUCCAGCCAUGCCGCGUGAGUGAAGAAGGCCUUCGGGUUGUAAAGCUCUUUCGGCCGGGAAGAAAUCGCAUGGGUUAAUACCCUGUGUGGAUGACGGUACCGGCAUAAGAAGCACCGGCUAACUACGUG